AACGAACGCUGGCGGCAUGCCUAACACAUGCAAGUCGAACGAGACCUUCGGGUCUAGUGGCGCACGGGUGCGUAACGCGUGGGAACCUGCCCUUAGGUUCGGAAUAACUCCCCGAAAGGGGUGCUAAUACCGGAUAAUGUCUUCGGACCAAAGAUUUAUCGCCUUUGGAUGGGCCCGCGUUGGAUUAGCUAGUUGGUAGGGUAAAAGCCUACCAAGGCGACGAUCCAUAGCUGGUCUGAGAGGAUGAUCAGCCACACUGGGUCUGAGACACGGCCCAGACUCCUACGGGAAGCAGCAGUGGGGAAUAUUGGACAAUGGGCGAAAGCCUGAUCCAGCAAUGCCGCGUGAGUGAUGAAGGCCUUAGGGUUGUAAAGCUCUUUUACCCGGGAUGAUAAUGACAGUACCGGGAGAAUAAGCUCCGGCUAACUCCGUG
rnacentral:rRNA from 1 species